UUGAAAGGGAAACGAUUGAAGUCAGUCGUGCUGGCGCGAAAUCAACCUUCUCGUCUUGAGAUCACAUGGCGUGGCGAGCCUCAAAACCGUCACGAAGCGUGAACUCUUGGUGAAAUGGAGCACUUUCGUGUCCGCUGGUUAACAUCAAUUUCGAACGUCAUAAAAAGGCUGGAGGGAUGUGGCUCCUUCGGGAGUGUUAUAACCUUUAGCGGAAUGUGGUGUUCGGGAUUGAGGAUUGCAACGAAUACCUUUAGGGCUGUUCCACCUGGCUUCUCUUUGGUAUCCUGGUGACGACAGCUUGCUGACGUCGUUAGGAUUCGCCUUUGAACAGGCUAGAGUGUGAGCAAUUCGUUAAGGAUGUUGACGUA
rnacentral:rRNA from 1 species